UACGAAGGGGGCGAGCGUUGUUCGGAUUUACUGGGCGUAAAGGGCGCGUAGGCGGCCUUGUCAGUCAGGCGUGAAAGCCCCGGGCUCAACCUGGGAACGGCGCUUGGGACGGCGAGGCUGGAGUUCGGGAGAGGAGAGUGGAAUUCCCAGUGUAGAGGUGAAAUUCGUAGAUAUUGGGAAGAACACCGGUGGCGAAGGCGGCGACCUGGUCCUUGACUGACGCUGAGGCGCGAAAGCGUGGGGAGCAAACAGG
rnacentral:rRNA from 1 species